AGCGGGAGCGAGCAAGCAAAUCUGAUUAUUUGCGGAGGAAUGGUAGGAAGCACUAGGAAGGAGGAACCUAUGUCAUUCUGGCUGGUUUUCAAUCUCAGGAAUUCUGUGGAGGACCAUUGAGAGAUACCCUGGCACCCCAGGCAGAAGACAUGGAUACAAGUAUCCCCAUGAAUUAAAUGUUGACUACAAAACAGAGGCCUGGAAGCACUGAUUGAAGACCAUGCUGCCAAAUCCUUUAAAUGAAUAGGAAACAAGAAUCCCUUUGCCAUGCCUUCAGUCAUUUUAUCCAACAUUCAGAGAGUUUCUGCCAUGUGCCAGGCACUGAGCUUGGGUUCUUGCAGUGAACAAGGUAAGAUACAGUAUCCUUUCCCUUAUGGAAUGUACAAUCUCCCUAUAAAUUCCUCAGAUGGAAUGAUACAGAUAAUCUCAAAGAUGCUACAUGCCUUCAGACCACAACUAUCAAAAUCCUACUCAGGCUGAAUUUGUUGGGGACACAUAUAGGUGCCUUUGCCUCCCAAUGUUUCCUGAUGGACAACGACUAACAAAAGGCCCGACACAUAGGCAAUAUUGGGAUGAAUAGG